GUAGGUGAACCUGCGGAAGGAUCAUUAACGAACGAGGAAUUCAAUUUAUUUGAAUUUCUUGGGAUCAACCAAAACCUGUAUGAUGAUGUAAAUUGUAUAUCGAUUAAUAAUCGUAUACGAAAAUAAUUUUAAUAAAAUACAAAACUUUCAACAACGGAUCUCUUGGCUCUU
rnacentral:misc_RNA from 1 species